GAUGAAGAACGUAGCGAAAUGCGAUAGGUAGUGUGAAUUGCAGAUGUAACGUGAAUCAUCGAAUCUUUGAACGCAAAUUGCACUCUCUGGUAUUCCGGGGAGUAUGCCUGUUUGAGGGUCGCCAAAUCAACAUCGAAAUUCAUUUGCUUUUGUAAAUGUUUUAUCGGAUUUGAGCCGUCUUUUAUUUUUUUAAUUAAAGUGGCUUAAAAUGUAUUUUUUGGUAUCGAAAAACGUUAUUUUACGAUCAAAUUGAUUAAAAAAACAAACGUUUCGAAUGCCGUCUUCUAAUGUAAUACGCUUGACUGUGGUGUUAAUCAUAGUUUCAUUCGUAUACGAUUUUUUAAUUUUUGACCUCAAAUCAGGUAAGAACACCCGCUGAACUUAAGCAUAUCAAUAAGCGGAGGA
rnacentral:misc_RNA from 1 species